rnacentral:rRNA from 1 species
CAGUCGAGCGAGCUUGCCUAGAUGAUUUUAGUGCUUGCACUAAAUGAAACUAGAUACAAGCGAGCGGCGGACGGGUGAGUAACACGUGGGUAACCUGCCCAAGAGACUGGGAUAACACCUGGAAACAGAUGCUAAUACCGGAUAACAACACUAGACGCAUGUCUAGAGUUUGAAAGAUGGUUCUGCUAUCACUCUUGGAUGGACCUGCGGUGCAUUAGCUAGUUGGUAAGGUAACGGCUUACCAAGGCAAUGAUGCAUAGCCGAGUUGAGAGACUGAUCGGCCACAUUGGGACUGAGACACGGCCCAAACUCCUACGGGAGGCAGCAGUAGGGAAUCUUCCACAAUGGACGAAAGUCUGAUGGAGCAACGCCGCGUGAGUGAAGAAGGGUUUCGGCUCGUAAAGCUCUGUUGGUAGUGAAGAAAGAUAGAGGUAGUAACUGGCCUUUAUUUGACGGUAAUUACUUAGAAAGUCACGGCUAACUACGUGCCAGCAGCCGCGGUAAUACGUAGGUGGCAAGCGUUGUCCGGAUUUAUUGGGCGUAAAGCGAGUGCAGGCGGUUCAAUAAGUCUGAUGUGAAAGCCUUCGGCUCAACCGGAGAAUUGCAUCAGAAACUGUUGAACUUGAGUGCAGAAGAGGAGAGUGGAACUCCAUGUGUAGCGGUGGAAUGCGUAGAUAUAUGGAAGAACACCAGUGGCGAAGGCGGCUCUCUGGUCUGCAACUGACGCUGAGGCUCGAAAGCAU